CAGAAUUCGACUGCAUCUCCAACAACAGAUUUGGCAGCAAAGAAGGUCAACUUCGCAAGAAAACUUAUGUCAGCCAUCUCCACUCCUGUAACCGCAUGCAACUCUAAUGUGGUGAGGCUAUUACCUCACAGUGGGGUGUAUGGAACGAAAUAUGCACUAAUGCUCUCCGAAAAGGGACAAAAAGAGACUAUAUGAUGUAC